rnacentral:tRNA from 1 species
GUGUGCGUAAUUUAAAAAAAAAUAUCAAGCUGUGACCCUGACAUUAGGAUGCACAUCCUCACACACCA